CUCCCUCACUGUGUCUGUGCACCCCCUUAUCUGCUCAGAGCUCCCUCACUGUGUCUGUGCACCCCCUUAUCUGCCCAGUGUACCCUCACUGUGUCUGUGCACCCCAUUAUCUGCUCAGAGCUCCCUCACUGUAUCUGUGCACCCCCUUAUCUGGUCAGAGCUCCCUCACUGUGUCUGUGCCCCCAUUAUCUUAGUGUCUCCCCUCACUGUGUCUGUGCCCCCCAUUAUCUUAG